AACGCGAUCCACUCUUUCAUCUUUUUUUUUCAUCUUUCCUUGCAAAAUCAGUAACCAAAAGGACAACUCCAUCUAUGUGGAAUUUCAUGAAUGAAUGCAAAAUCCCCUACAAAACAAUCAAAUCAUUAGUAGGGUGAACAAGACGAUCAAAACAUUUUUAUAAGAAAAAUAUAUGCAUACAUUUUCUGGAAAUAAAGUCUCAAUGCCAAUGAUAUUUUCAUAAGAACAUUUUGCACAUCCUCUCCAAUUACCACACAGAGGACCUGUGUAAUUGUCGCUGACUUUUGUGCCACAAAUAUCUCCUAAAGCAUUCAUAGCUCCCAUUAUCUAAAUUUGGAAACCAAACAAGAAUCCUUCCAUCAAGUACCCCUCCUUCUGCUCUAGUUUAUCCCUUAUUUUAUCAAUAUUCAGCAGGAAAUCAAACGAGUACAUAACUCAUGGGUAAUUCUAAAGCUUCUCCAAAUCCAUCGCCAACUUCAUGUAGAGAUGUUGAAAAUUCACCUUCUCAUCCUUCCCCAUCACCACACCAUAUAACGCAAAGAUAGAUCAGUCUCACCCUAUCAACCCAAGUCCAGCUAUUUAUCUCUUCCAAAUACUUUUUUUUUAUGAUCUGCAAGUUUAUUUUCCUAUAUGUCUUUAUCUGCCUGCUCCCAAAACCACCAUCAUAUUUCCAUG
rnacentral:lncRNA from 1 species